AAUAAACUAGUUUUUCACUUUUUACCUAUAAUUUUUGAUUUUUUUGUCUUAUUUAAAUUUUUUUGCGAUUAAUAUUUUUGUUUUUAUUAGAUGAUAAAUCAUAAAUAGUAUUUUACGUGUGACUAAUUUUUUUCUAAUUUCUUAAAAAAAUUUUAAAUAAGAUAGAUGGUCAAACGUUAGACACGAAAACCGGAG
rnacentral:pre_miRNA from 1 species